rnacentral:rRNA from 1 species
CGGACGGGUGAGUAACACGUGGAUAACCUACCUAUAAGACUGGGAUAACUUCGGGAAACCGGAGCUAAUACCGGAUAAUAUUUUGAACCGCAUGGUUCAAAAGUGAAAUACGGUCUUGCUGUCACUUAUAGAUGGAUCCGCGCUGCAUUAGCUAGUUGGUAAGGUAACGGCUUACCAAGGCAACGAUGCAUAGCCGACCUGAGAGGGUGAUCGGCCACACUGGAACUGAGACACGGUCCAG